UCAUGUUGUGAAAGAGAGUAUGAUUCGGAUCACCUGUCAGUGGAAGGUAAUACUUAAUGCUAGCUAGCACUGGCCUGGAUCGUCUUCGUCUAUAUUUCUUAAUUCGAAGUCUCCAAUGGCGAAAACCUCUCAAAGCUCCGUUGUUGAAGACAACUCAAAUCUCAGCGUGAACACAAUUUCCACCGUGUUUGUUUCAGCGAUGGACUCAGAGACAGGGCAACCAGCGGUGGCCGUGUCAACUCAACUGAGUCAGAUGGUGGCAGAUGAUGUUAAAAGCAAUCCAAAGUUUCAGAAAACAGCCGAAAUCAUUAUACAAAAUUGUGGUGACAAUCCUACUCUAAAUCUGGUCAUUGCUGAAGCCUUGAAUCAUAUUGCAAAGCACAAUGAAGAUGAUUGGACAGUAGAAAGAGCUUUGGAAGAAAUAGAAGGACUUUGCAAAAGCGAAACAUCAAAGAGGAAAGAAAUAUCAUUGGUGCGAUUUGGGUUCGACAUGUUGCCAAGAAGUGACUUGGCAAUGAUCAAUUGUUGCUGGCAUAGCAGACAAUUUUUCCGCAACAAUGGUGGAGUCCAUUACAAUUUGUUGAUUACAAACUGGAUAUUAGAAGAAUGCUUUGGUCUUGUUGAUCAUUUUGACAAGGCAUACCACCAAGGACAUGAUGUUUUAAUGAACCUCAUAAACCGCGGCCUGCUUAAAAUUGAAGAAAAUAAUGAUAAUGUUGUCGUUAUGGAGGAAUUGGUACGUGACGUUCCUGAUAGUCGAUUUAAUGGAUUCGUUUGGAAGCCUACUUUGGGAUUGAGUGGGGUAUAUGAGGGUGAAAUUUGGCUAGGUCUUGAUAGUGUUGGGCCUGCUGAUGGAAUGAUCAGAACGUGUGAAAAGGACUGGAAAGAAGUUUCAGUACUGCUGGUUGAUGGAAAUCAUCUCUGCCAGGAGGUUGUCGAAACAUAUUUUACGACCCUAAAGGAUCUCCAAGUUCUUGCCAUUUUCAGUCCUAGGAUCGAAGCAUUGCCUGUUAGUUUAACCAAGUUGGGAAAGCUUUGUUUUCUUGUGCUUAAAGACUGUGAUCUGCUGGAGAAUAUUGAUGGCCUUGUGAAUCUGAAGGCAUUAACAGUUCUAGAGAUAUCAAAUGCUAAAAACAUCAAGGAUAUCCCAAAAAAUCUAUUUGAGAGUUUAUCUAAGCUCCGAAGCCUCAACUUAUCUUAUACUGGAAUUAAAAAUCUUCCUUCUUCCCUGUCAAAGCUUCAUGAACUGCGAUCCAUCAACCUUCGUGGGUGUUGCUACCUAAAAUCGUUGCCAAUGUUGAAAACACUGGUGAAGCUCCAGCUGCUUGAUGUUUCUGGUGCUACUUCACUGGAACGUCUUGCAGAUAAAAGUAUAAAUGCCCUUCAAGAUCUUCAACUGCUCGACCUUUCUCAAACUCUGGUUCGUCAUGUUCCUUUUCUUAAGGAUCUCAAGCAGCUAUUUCGUGUUUCAUUUAGAGAUUGCAAAGAACUGAUUAGACUGCCGAACCUUCGAGGGUUGAGUGGGCUUCAAGUUCUUGAUCUCUCUGGUGCUCUGAUGCUAAAGGAAAUUCAGGAUGACACCUUUUCAGAAAAUAAUGACCUCAAAAUUCUUGACCUUUCCAGAACUGCAGUCACUUGUUUACCUUCCAGCAACUGUAACCUUUCAAAUCUUGAGCUCCUCAAUAUGUCCGAGACGUUAAAUUUGGUUGAACUUGAAGAUGACACCUUCAAAAAUAUGGCAUGCCUUUGUCAUCUCGACCUCUCAAAAUCUCUGUUUAAGAAACUACCUUCCCUUACAGGGCUUGUUAAUCUACGAGAACUUAAACUACAAGAAUGCAGCAAUCUGGUGGAGUUACCAAGUCUGGAUGCCCUGAAGAAAUUGGAAGUCCUUGAUCUAUCGGGUUGUGUUUCUUUUAAGGCAUUUAAAAAGGACCAAUCCUUUAGCCACAUGACCAAUCUCCAGUUCCUCGACCUAUCAGAAACUAUAAUUGAAAAAUUGCCUGACCUAUCUGAUCUUCAUAACCUCUCUCAACUUCUACUAAGGAAAUGCACCAAGCUGACAAAACUUCCACCUCCUGUCUCACUUAAACUUAAAGUACUUGAUGCCUCUGGUGCGGAAAAUUUGAGAGAAUGGGAAGCCGAAUUGCCCGAAGACUUGAAUCAAUUGGAAAUCCUCGAUCUAUCGGAAACAAAACUAAGUUCUCCACGGUUGAACAAUUAUACCAACCUUAGGCACCUUUCUCUAAGAGGUGAAUUGCAGACGGUGCUACAAUUGGAUAAUCUCACAAACCUUGAGGUCUUGGAUUUAUCAAGCACACGUAUCAGUUCUUCACAAAUACAAACAAUCACAAAACUUUCCAACCUUAGACAACUUCUGCUAACUGAUUGUUCAGAAGUACAAGAGAUUCCUACUCUAGAACCACUCGUGAAGUUGGAGGGUCUUCAUUUGAAGGGAACAAAAAUCAAGGAAUUCUGUUGUCAGAUGGCGAAGUUAACUCGACUAAUGCAUCUAGACCUGCCAAACUCUUCAGACACUCUUAGACUCAAUUGGACAGGCAUAAAAUCACUUCCUGGAGAGCUAAACUGGGACCAAUUUGGUAUGCCUUCUGAACUUCAAAAUAGUAUAAACAGGCCCUCCAUGAUUGUGAGAGAUAUGAAUUCUUUCAAAAUUAUGAAGGCAGUACCUGACAUAUGGAACUCAUGCUUCAAUAAAUUUUUCAUCUCUGUAUGCCCUUUAAAAAAGGGAGAGGAGGAUGAAGAAAUCUAUGUACAUCAAGAUGGGACUAGCUAUCAAGAUAUCUACUUUCAUGUCAUGUCUUAUCGUCAUGAGUAUUCCCCGUUUUUGGAAAUCCGCAGAUUUGAGAGCUUUCCCACUGGUCUUGAGGAUGCUCUUAUGAAAGUUGAAUAUGUUUCUUUUGUUGAAAUUAGGCUUAUUACAAGCUUAUCUAAAUUGGGAAAUGCAAAUAAUUUAAAAGGCUGCUGGAUUUGGAGUUGUACCAACCUGGAGUGUCUAAUGCAGAAAGACAAAGAUCAGGAUAACCUCAAUUUAUUGGACAAUCUAGAGAUUCUAUGGAUAUGCAACCUUCCUAUCUUAAAGAGUGUGCAUAGUACAGGCCUUCAAUUCGAAAGCAUCAGAAAUCUCACACAACUGUAUAUAGAUUCUUGCCCACAGCUUGUGACUCUGUUCAAGUCCUCUCAUCUCUCGAAAAGCCUCGAGAUUCUCCACGUUAAAUUUUGCGAUGGAUUGAAGUCUAUAUGCGAAUCCAAAGAAGAGUGUACCUUAGAGAAGUUGCACUCCUUGAAUCUGUUAGAAUUGCCUGAGUUGACAGACAUUGGCCUUAAACUUCCAUCAUUGAGAACAGCUAAUAUUAGGAACUGUCCUAAACUUGGAGAAAGUUUUGAGGAAAAACUUGGGCUGGAAGAAGCAAGAGUUGAAAGGAACUUGAUUCGUGAGCAAUGGGAUGGAAGUCGAAUAAAUCGAAAUGGGGAAGCAACAUCUCUCAGAUCAUUGUGAUGAUCAACUUCAUCAAAGACACUGGAGGAACAUUUUGCUGCCAUGGCAGGUGAUGUUUUUGAAUACGAAUAUUGAAGCAAAACUAACAUGAGUUACUUGAAUCAUCAUAUGCGGUCUCUUUUCGAGUUGAAGAAUAUACACAAAACGACUCUCUCAAGGAAAAAUCACUCUACAACUUCUCUCAAUAAUUCUCUUCCUACCAAAACUUAAAGGAUGCCUACAAAACUCUCUUUACAAUUCUCACCCUAUAGAGAAUAAGAGGUUUCCUUGUAGUAGUGUUUUUGGGACUAAUGUAUUUUGGCGUUUUCAAGAUCGUGGGAGGUCUUUGCGUUUGUGACCAAGAGAGAAAUUACGUGAAGAUUAUAGUCUUCAAGGGUAAGUAAUUCCAAACCCCUAAUUUUCUCAUGUUUUUUUUAAAGCAUGCUGUAAUUUAGAAUGCAUAUCUAUUAUUUUCGUGCUCUGAAUUUAUUGCUUCUGUAAAAUGAAAAAUUGGGAUACAAUCUACUUUCGCUUAGGUAUUCUCGCGUCCUUCAAUUGGUAUCAAAACGGUCGUUUUGAGUCCAAUUUCUAUCAUUUUUGAAAUUAGAAUUCAGAUUUAUGGUGGGUUUUUGUUUCUGGACUACAUUUAUGGUUGAUGAAUAUGGGUUUGGUGAAUUUUGGAUUUUUUGGGGAUUGGUUUGUGUAGAAUUACGCUGCUUUUUUACAUUUUGAUAUGUAAGGACCCCUUUUUUUAGGCAUAAAAUUGCUAUUGAGUCUGUAAAUUUAUAGUCCGGAUUGUUCGUGAUGUUUUCUGGUGAAGAUUUGGAGUUUUCGGGGCCAAAACGGGGUAGAACGAGGCAAAAAUGCAUUGUAAAGAAGGUGUUCUAUACAGCGUCAUACCCUAAUAUUGCGACGCUAUGAAACUUCUUCCCAUUCGCAUCGCGUCGAUGCGAUGUGAAUGGGAAGAAGUUCCAUAGUGUCGCAACAUUAGGGUAUAACACUGCAGCGCUUUGAGAUGGAUGACACAUGUGAGGAGUCCGAUUCAGUGGGCAGUUCGCAAUUCGAAUGGCUCAAUCUGGCAGUUUUUUGGUCCAGGCAGUUCAACAACAAUUUUUCUACAUUUAUUUAAUUAUUAUUUGUAAUAAUUAGGUAUUUUGAUUAAUUAAAUUAAUAUAAUAGUUAUAUUAAU